GCAGUCGAACGAAGUAGCAAUACUUAGUGGCAGACGGGUGAGUAACAUGUAGGUAUCUACCCUUUGGCCUGGAAUAACACGAGGAAACUUGUGCUAAUACCGGAUAAGUCUUUACGGAGAAAGCUUUAUGCACCAUUGGAUGAGCCUGCACUUGAUUAGUUUGUUGGUGGGGUAAUGGCCUACCAAGACAAUGAUCAAUAGCUGAUUUGAGAGGAUGAUCAGCCACAUUGGGACUGAGACACGGCCCAAACUCCUACGGGAGGCAGCAGUAGGGAAUCUUGCACAAUGGAGGAAACUCUGAUGCAGCGAUGCCGCGUGAGUGAAGAAGGCCUUUGGGUUGUAAAGCUCUUUCGUCGGGGAAGAAAAUGACUGUACCCGAAUAAGAAGGUCCGGCUAACUUCGUGCCAGCAGCCGCGGUAAUACGAAGGGACCUAGCGUAGUUCGGAAUUACUGGGCUUAAAGAGUUCGUAGGUGGUUAAAAAAGUUGGUGGUGAAAUCCCAGAGCUUAACUCUGGAACUGCCAUCAAAACUUUUUAGCUAGAGUAUGAUAGAGGAAAGCAGAAUUUCUAGUGUAGAGGUGAAAUUCGUAGAUAUUAGAAAGAAUACCGAUUGCGAAGGCAGUUUUCUGGAUCAUUACUGACACUGAGGAACGAAAGCAUGGGUAGCGAAGAGGAUUAGAUACCCUCGUAGUCCAUGCCGUAAACGAUGUGUGUUAGACGUUGGAAAUUUAUUUUCAGUGUCGCAGCGAAAGCGAUAAACACACCGCC
rnacentral:rRNA from 1 species